UCGCGCGCGCGUGUGUAUGUACAGUAUGUGCGUGAGUUUUUAAUUUAAAAUGUCUUAACUUAACUCGGAAGGAUCUGAAUGACAGGUCAUUUCAUCUGAGAUCAUUCCGCAUGUAACAGCCGGAAUCACUCACUGUUUCCCACAACGACACAAGUCAUCAGCCGUUUCCUCAAGGUCACGUCAGAGCGUUGAUGAGGUGGAGAGGCAGACCAGACCACCACCAUACGCGAAGAUGAGCCUCGAGGCGUGACAGUUAUUUUUUUAAACUGGAGUUCGGACUCCGGACCGGCGUUUCUGCUUGUUUGUACCCUGAGAUAACCAUGGUUCAUAAAUGGUCAGACACGUCACUGGCUUUAAAAUAUAAACCCCAUUGAUGCAAAAAGAUGCUGCAUGGAAUGACAAUGUGGUUUGGAACAGACUUGGUGAAGAACAUGGAAACAUCUCCUAAUAAAAUGGCCCCAAACAUCAUCAGGAGUGCAAAAGAAGGAAGUAAAAAACAUCUCUACGCCAAUCUCAUUGGAGAGGAAACCACAAAAGGUCUGGUGAGGAAUGCUGCACUUAUGUUAUUGCAAGCAUUAUUUCAAGAAAAUCCCAGCUUCCUUGACUGUGUAAAUAGUGUAGGAACCCAAAGGUCCCACACCAAACAAAUUGUUCAACGGCUCUCCUGAUCUUCUCAAAUCUGAAAGUAUCAACUUUAUAAUGGACAAUGUGAACUUAAUAUGUGGAAGACAUUGACAUCACAGGCUGUGGAAUGACUGUGUCACAGGUCGGAGAAGCGGACCACCCCUGUAGCGGAUCGCGCGCUUCCUAGUUCCACCUCGAGGAGGUCCCAAAGCACCCCAAUGACCAGACAAACCAGAGAUAAGUAAAAUAUAGAAAUAGAAACUUUAUUUAAAUUAUUUAAAACUAAAGUGGGGAAUGGGAAAGGGAAUCUAAAAAUCUCGCUUCUCGCCCUCAGGGGGGAGUAUUACGGGGCCAGGGACGUUGGAGGGGUUUCCACGUGACUCCAGCUGGAACAACGCUACAGAGCGUAUCUGGGUGGGUUGGGCACACACCGUCGCGGCGGCCCCUGAUGGCAUCCACAAGGGUCCAAGACCCUCCUAAGCUCCUAGCCGUAGCAGAACUACGUAUUUCAGCACCCGAAGGACUAACAACCCAGCCGGCAUCUGCAGCGUAUAUCCAACGCGAUCAAACUUCACUCUGACAAGUAACUUCCUAUACACAACCACGCCGUCCUUUCGCCCGGACCAGCCCCGCACUCUUUCCGCCCGCUACCUAGCGGUCGCCGGAUCAGCAGAGCCUGCGGACUCUUCGGAGGCUGGUCUUCGUUGUGCUGCCCAAGGCGGAAGUUGACUCGCCCGAAAAUCGACCCUUCCAGUAACUUCUACCUUCUCUCUUUAUAUCCUCCUCCCAGGCGUGGCUCGCCCAACCAUCGCUCGCCACGUCACUCACACAGCUGUGCCUUGUUUCAGUGAGUGCGGGGAUUCCUGGGGAACCCUGAAGUGCCGGUGUCUGUACAAACCGGUCCGGGCGGAACCUCUUCACUCUCCUUUUGGUUCCGCCCCGCAUAGUCACUCCGUGACAACUGUUUGCGUUUUUUUUUCUCCUCAAUGUUCAAUACCCUUUUGCCAUUAAGCACACAGUCACUUUAAUUUAUAAAAUAUAUGCUUAAGUUUUAAUACCUGUACAAAACAAAUGUACAAUCAACUUGUGUAAAUUUUAAUAAAAAUUUAAGCUUUAAUUGCUUGUUCAUGUUAGUUCAGAGUGCAUUAACUAAUGUUAACAAGAUUUUAAUAAAGUAAUUGUUGAAAUUAACAUUAACAAAGAUUAAUAAAGGCUGUAUAAGUGCAGUUCAUUAUUAGUUCAUGUUAACUAAUGUAGCUAACUAAUGUUAACUAAUGAACCUUAUUGUAAAGUGUUACCGUGAUUUCUUUUCAUCAUUUCAGACACAUGUAAAAGUUACUAAAAAUUAAUACUGCAUAUACUGUACAGUAUCUAUGCGUAAGGGAAAUAACUUAAACAAAAUUUUUAAUGUAUAGUGUAAUUAAGAGUUUAGCUGUUUAAUACAGAGAUGCAAUUUAUUUAUAUAUAUUAUUUAUAUAUAAACGUAUGUAUGUUUAUUAAAAAGUGAAAAUGCUUAAUGGAAAUAAUUAAAUAACUAAAUGGUUGAAUGUAAUGAGACAUUUUAAAUGUAAACUAAAGUUUUGCUGUCUAAUACAGAAUAAAGAGAUGUGAUUUUAAGUAA